AUUGAACGCUGGCGGCAUGCUUAACGCAUGCAAGUCGAACGGUAACAGGCCCUUCGGGGUGCUGACGAGUGGCGGACGGGUGAGUAAUGCUUAGGAAUCUGCCUAGUAGUGGGGGAUAACCCGGGGAAACUCGGGCUAAUACCGCAUACGCCCUACGGGGGAAAGGCGGGGGACGUUUCGGGCCGUCGCGCUAUUAGAUGAGCCUAAGUCCGAUUAGCUAGUUGGUAGGGUAA
rnacentral:rRNA from 1 species